GUCCUCACGCUUACACACGUGUCCCUUACCACAGAGCCACCACCCCAGCCCCCUGCCGCAGCUGGGACAUCGCUUUCAACACGUGACGUCUGGGGUCCACCGUCAAAACGGCACCCAGUGACACAUUUCUCACUAACCUGCCUGUGAAGCUCUUAGUUUAUCCAUCAGCACACAUGUGACGACUCUCUACCUGGAAACCGCAAAAUGAGUUUCUCCUUUCCACUUUUGAUGCAGCGCUCUGGACUACGGGCGUGGGUGGGACCGAGUUUACAGUGGCUCGGAUGACAGUUCUUCUGCUCUCUGAGGGUUUUACCGGGGCGUGGAAGGCAUUUUGAGUUUACCAAUGCGUUUGCCUUCUGAACCAGCCUCGACCGCAGACUUCGGAGUGUACACUGAAGUUUCUAACUAGGAAAAAAAAAUGUGUUUAUGUGGGCCUGGAGAUACAUCUAAAAUCCGGGAUGGCCACGUGGAGACAAGUGGAAGAAGAAGUUGGCUGCCAAAGAAACUGGACAAUAAAAAUGCAAGAACAAAAUAUCAAUGAAAGUGAAGAGUGUAGAGGUCACAAGGAAAAGAAUUAUUAAGAAUGGUGAUAAAGAAGUUCAAGUCAAAAGUCUUAAAGUUGCUAUCUGCCCACUUCAGCAAACGCUAAUUGCAACUCUCAAAUUUAGUUCCCUUAACCAUAUAAUUGAAGGGUUAAUAAUGCAGACGUCAUAGGAAAGUUCAUGACAGAAACCAAGAUAAUGAGCCCACAGUAAGUGCUUGACACGAGGUAGCCAUUUCAGUUGUUACACAUCAGGAGCUGCAAAUGACGCUGAGUCACUAAUCUCCAGACUCAAGACAAACUCAGCAGGUGAAAAUUACCCAACUGUCUAUUUCCAUCUGCAAAGAACUCUGUGAAAUAAAGACACUUUUUCCUUUCAGGACAAUCCCACGGCUCUUCCUAUUUGCCUCAUUUUAUGAAUCUCGGUGUUUCCGGGCUUCUAAAAGGAGAUAAAUACAAAACAACCAACAGAUAAGAGCAACCUUGGGACUUCUCAGUAAGCUUAGAUGCUUCAGAUGGCUAUAUUCAAGGAAGGUGCUGGAGGUCAGGUUCUUGACUUGGAAUGGAAAACACCACAAGGAGGCCAUCCUUUAAAGGAAGAAGAUGAAGUUCCCUCUCCGUCUCCUGAACCAAUCUGUAGGGUAAUUCACAAACACAAGCACCACCAAACAGGUGAUCCCUGGACUCUGUCAGCCAGUGUCCAUGACAGAGACCAUCCCUAACAGUCACCAACAAUUUAUGGGACUUUUUCAUUGACUCUUUUGUGGACUUCCAGGAAGGAAAUGAGCUCUCCAAACAGAUGUUAAAUAAACACAAAUAUUCAU